rnacentral:rRNA from 1 species
GAUGAACGCUGGCGGCGUGCUUCAAACAUGCAAGUCGAACGGACAGAGGGAGCUUGCCCCCAAAGUUAGUGGCGGACGGGUGAGUAACGCGUGGGUAACCUGCCCUAUGCAGGGGGAUAACAAAGAGAAAUCAUUGCUAAUACCCCAUAACCUCAGAAGGUUUCAAGAACUUCUUAGCAAAGAUUUACCGGCAUAGGAUGGAGCCGCGUUAGAUUAGCUAGUUGGUGGGAUAAAAGCCCACCAAGGCAACGAUCUAUAGCCGGCCUGAGAGGGUGAACGGCCACACUGGGACUGAGACACGGCCCAGACUCCUACGGGAGGCAGCAGUGGGGAAUAUUGCACAAUGGGCGCAAGCCUGAUGCAGCGACGCCGCGUGAAGGAUGAAGGUCUUCGGAUUGUAAACUUCUAUCAGCAGGGAAGAAAUAUGACGGUACCCGACUAAGAAGCCCCGGCUAACUACGUGCCAGCCGCCGCUGUAA